GGAUGGAUAUUUUGGCAACUCCAAUCCCCGAUCUCGUGCUCUCCCCGUUCCCCUCUCCUUCCCUCACCUCUCUCUCUCUCCCCCAAAUCGGCUAUCUCUCCACGCCUGCCGGCCAUGGGAACGGCAGCGGUCCCGACCUGCGCCAUGGCCACGGCGAUCUGCCAUAUUCCUGAGCUCCGGCACGACCCUUUGAGGUUGUCGUCUCUACGACGGCUCCAACGGCCCUUCGAGCUCCGCCGCCCAGUCCCCCCUGCUCCCUGAUGCAAGGAAAGGGAAUGAAAUGUAUAGAUAGGAGUAUGCGGAUGUGCUACUAUGCUGGGCGUUGGCGUUUUGUUCGUGAGAUGAACUAGUUCAGUCUCCACUACGCUCCCUGUUCGCCACAGAUCGAAGAGCAGCGCCGCCGCCCUAUCAUCGCGGCGGCUGUACGUUGCCCCCGUACACGCGGCCAGAUAGAACUGCUGCGUCGAUGGCCCGCGGUGAGGCGUCGCAGGUCAGAAUCCCUUCCAACUUAUCUACUUGUUGCAGCGCGGGCCUGCAGAUUUGUGCUUUUAGGUUUGUUAGGUUUCAAGUAAUGUAUCUGCUAAUGCUUGAGAAUGCAAUGUUGACGAAUUACAUUUGAGAAUAAUUGCUUGUGGAACAAUGGAGAAUCGGGUAGAAUUGGUAAGCAUGUACUUUGAGUAAGCUCUAGGUAAGACGCGUAUUACAAUGUUGAUUCCUCUGUUCCUAAUUCCUAAUAUUAAAUCAGAAUGGCCUAUGAUGUUCAAAGGGAAACUGCCAAACCAGCUUAUGGUGUUUCUAAUUUUUACAUUUUGAAUCCCAUUGCUUAAAACCUCUGUUGUCAGCAAAUAAAGUUAGGAGCAUUUACUGCCAAUUUACUGCCAAUAGAAAAUCAGUAAAAGAAGCCUAGCCCAAAUUUUUGUGCAAGUAUGCAGGCCCUUUUGAAAAAAUCCUGGGUCCGCCAAUAUGAACAUGAUGAACUGUGUACCACAUUUCUGUUCCCUGUAUUUUUAAAUUAGUAUCUUCUGUGCUUCCCAACUCUGUUGAGCAGUUUGAUAGUUUUUUUUGUUGCCUCAUUUGUAUCCAAGAGGGCCACUCAGUGGUUUGAAGUUGAGUUCCUGAAUGAACUGGUGUAGUUUGCCAUUGCUUUGAUUCAUGUUUCUCCUAUCAGCACUAAUUGCGUGAUUGGCCAAAUGAAAAGCAAAUUUUCCAGAUCUGACACGUCAAGUAUUGUUGAAAAAUAUGUUUUGCGUGCCGUCAGUGGAAUCGAUUGGUCUCUUGCUUCUAUAGUAUUUCAAGAGUCUAUACAACAAAUAUUCUUUGCCAAGCAGCUUGAAGAGCAUUGGACUUUAACAUAAGCAGGUACUUAUGUAGUUUUAUACAAAAAAGUAUUCUAUUAUCUGAUAAAUAAAAUGUAAAAAGGCACUCUGCAGCUAUAUUAUUGACCGUAAAAGAGGGCCCUUAGUGGACUUUAAUGUACUGCGAUAGAGUUACACUAGUAAAGUAGGCUAUACGAUUUUCUGUGUCCCUACUCUGAAGCAUUUAGGAUUCCUGACCAAAAUUAUGGCCCAAUUCUUUUUCACCACCAGAAUUGCUAGCGGUUGUUCUGCAAUAUUACUACAUUCAAAUAUUUUUUCUGAAUAAGUUAAUAGAUGAAUAGAAUUUCCAUUGCAAAUUAUUGUGAUAAUCAAGCACCUUAAGACGUUGGUGAACUAUGAGGCCUCGGGGAAGAUGUGUGAUCAACACUUUUAGUCUUCUAUAAAGUUGAUUGACAGGUGCCCGUUGAUGAGAUUAAUGAAAAUGGUAUGCAUUCAAUCAAGCACUGGUGCAUUAUUGUCGGUUUGCCAGGAACUCAUAUGGUCAUUUUAGGUAUUUCACAUGGAUCGCUGCCUCGUAGGUUGCCAGAGAAAUUUACAAGAUCUAGAUGGCAGUGAGAAAUCAUGGUGGUCUAUUCGUAACUCUUAUACAACCUGGUGAGUUCUCUAUUAAUUAUUUGUGCAUACCCAUAACAUAAUGAGGAUCUGGAUUCUAGAGUUUAUUAUUUGAAACUACUAUAUUUGUGCCAUGCCCUUACAUCUCCAUUUAUUGCUGAUAUGAGCUUCUGUAUUAAGAGAACAGCCAUAGACCCAUAGAUUUCGAGUUUGAACUCUUGUAUUUCUUUUUGCAUGUCACGUAUAUUUAGUGAUCUGUUAUAAUCUUAAUCACCUGACUACUGAAGUCACCAUAAAGUAUCAAAACAUGCGAAUAAUUGAUGACCAAAAAUAUAGUGAGUUACUACUGAUAGAUGCUUCUUAUUUUCCUUUUCCUUUUUCUUUUGGGAAUAUGUAUGACUUUACAAGUUGUAGUGCUACAAAAAUCACACUAUCCUGUGUUCAAACUUGUGGAUAGAAUUUGAAGAUUACUAAAGAGCUAUCAUUUCAUUAGUAUUUAUGCACGCUGCGGCGUUUUCGCCAGCCAGUCUUUACCAGUAAUCAGUACUGUCAUCCCCUUGGCAGGAUGGAAAUUAAGUGUUCAGAAUGGUUGACCCUAAAAACCAUAAUCCGUUGAUGUCCCUCUCGAGUUAUCAUCAUUGUAUAAUUUAUCUUUAUUCACACCCGUCAUGCGUAAUCUGUUUUUGGUAAGUCUGGGCCUUGACUGUAUUGGGUUUUAAUAACUGUUAAACAUGAAAAAUUUAGACAUGCUACUUAUUUUACAUGGGGUCAUGUGCAUAAAAUUUUCUUUAUUGCCUGGUUUACAUAUUGUUGAGUCCAUUCUUUCGAAGGAGCUAGUUCAUGCGGAAAUAUAAUUAUAUGUUGAACCUGUUUAGGCGACUGUCCUUUUUUUUCAUAUUCUUAAUUGAGAAAACAUUAUGUUUUGAGCUGUAAGCCUGCGACCUUAACCAAUCUGAGAUCGUCAGAUAAGGUUUCUAUGUGCAUAUCUUAUACUCUAAUGAAUCUUUUAAGCUAAGCGACUUUAGUUUUAUUAUCUGCCUGUUAUGUUCUUCAUUUCUUUUUUGUUUUGUAUGUCUCUCUAAUAUGUCUGUCAAGUGAGGAAGGAAUAGCUGGAAGCUGCUGGAUAACAAUUACUUCAACAAGGUCAAUUUUUAUCCAAACAUGAGCAGCUGAUGCCAGGCAAUUCAUGUCAUGCUAGUGUGUCAUUUUAGGGGUGUUCACAAUUGGUUCAUCAAAACGGUCCAAACCACGUUACUUUUUCUUAGUCAUUUUCUGGACUAACCAAAAGGUCAAACCAGUCACAUGCAUCGAUUUGUACUAGAAUUGCUGGCUGGCAGUUUGGAGGUUUCCCCCAACCUGAUUUUGAACAGUCCUAGUGACGAUGACCAGAAACUAUUGGGUGCUGUAGCAUAUAGGUUCAUGUUGUAUCUGUCCUGUACUCCAGUGUUUUCAUUAUUUACAUUUGAUGCUUUUGGCAAUAACAGAUGUUGUAGGAUGCGAUAAUAGGCUGCUUCAUUAUGUAACAUGUGUAUCAUCAAUUAUAUCAACACAAAGUUUUCACGCCCAACAUGCCAAGCAUGACAUUGAGGCCUGGUGGUCUCGUAUAUAUUGGUGUCGUCAUGAGCCUGCUGCUCUCCGACAAAAAGUAGCUAUGUAUCUUUUCAGUUACAAGGAUUGUCAUGGUACUACUCCUAGCAUGCAGAGGCACUUUCAUGGAAGGUCUCCCCAUAUACCAUAUGUUUAUGUACACUGCUGAACAAGGCUCUGUAAGAUCGAUGGAGAAUCAACAAGUGUUUGCGCUGUUGGCUGUGGCGAGGAGAGCUUUCUUGUGAUGGAGGAAGUUGCCACAUUAAGGUGUGCAGGCCUAAAUGUUUCGGGGGUCUUGGGGUGCUCAAUCUCGACUUCUUCAGUCAGGUGCUGCGGCUGCGUUGGGUGUGGCUGAGAUGGAACCAACAGAACAAAGGACAUUUAUGCUGGUGCGCCUCGAGGGAACUGAUCUUUCGCUGUUCGCAGCUUGCACCUCAAUCUCGGUCUGCAAUGAGACGCUUGCCAGUUUCUGGAACGACCGUUGGCUAAAUGGGCUGGAGCUGAGCUAGGCGAGCUCUUAUCCGGGGAUGAUGUCCCUUGAGUUUUGUUUUUCAUUUUAACCUCUUUGUAAUCUAAUCCUCUAUGUGUGCCUUUUUCUUCGGGGGUCCCUUGACCCCUCGGCAAUAAAUGACUCAUUAUGGCUGUUUCGUAAAAAAGAAGAUCCAUGGAGAAAAUUUGCGAGUAUGAAGGGCCGUAUGUUGGUUUUGUAAAAGGUCCAAUGAUUUUGAGAAUGUUUAUCUUGUAGCUGAUAGCAAAAAAAGCAUUGGAAUUUCUACAGUAUUCUAUGA